UACGUAGGUGGUGAGCGUUAUCCGGAAUUAUUGGGCGUAAAGAGCGCGCAGGUGGUUGAUUAAGUCUGAUGUGAAAGCCCACGGCUUAACCGUGGAGGGUCAUUGGAAACUGGUCGACUUGAGUGCAGAAGAGGGAAGUGGAAUUCCAUGUGUAGCGGUGAAAUGCGUAGAGAUAUGGAGGAACACCAGUGGCGAAGGCGGCUUCCUGGUCUGUAACUGACACUGAGGCGCGAAAGCGUGGGGAGCAAACAGGAUUAGAUA
rnacentral:rRNA from 1 species